UCGUGCUCGUGCUCGUGCUCAGGCCUAAUACAUGCAAGUCGAGCGGUAUUUGUCUUUCGGGACAGAGAGAGCGGCGUACGGGUGCGGAACACGUGUGCAACCUGCCUUUAUCAGGGGGAUAGCCUUUCGAAAGGAAGAUUAAUACCCCAUAAUAUUUAGAAUGGCAUCAUUUUAAAUUGAAAACUCCGGUGGAUAGAGAUGGGCACGCGCAAGAUUAGAUAGUUGGUGAGGUAACGGCUCACCAAGUCAGCGAUCUUUAGGGGGCCUGAGAGGGUGAUCCCCCACACUGGUACUGAGACACGGACCAGACUCCUACGGGAGGCAGCAGUGAGGAAUAUUGGACAAUGGGUGCAAGCCUGAUCCAGCCAUCCCGCGUGAAGGAUGACGGCCCUAUGGGUUGUAAACUUCUUUUGUAUAGGGAUAAACCUAGAUACGUGUAUCUAGCUGAAGGUACUAUACGAAUAAGCACCGGCUAACUCCGUGCCAGCAGCCGCGGUAAUACGGAGGGUGCAAGCGUUAUCCGGAUUUAUUGGGUUUAAAGGGUCCGUAGCGGAUCUGUAAGUCAGUGGUGAAAUCUCACAGCUUAACUGUGAAACUGCCAUUGAUACUGCAGGUCUUGAGUGUUAUUGAAGUAGCUGGAAUAAGUAGUGUAGCGGUGAAAUGCAUAGAUAUUACUUAGAACACCAAUUGCGAAGGCAGGUUACUAAGCAACAACUGACGCUGAUGGACGAAAGCGUGGGGAGCGAACAGGAUUAGAUACCCUGGUAGUCCACGCCGUAAACGAUGCUAACUCGUUUUUGGGCUUUCGGAUUCAGAGACUAAGCGAAAGUGAUAAGUUAGCCACCUGGGGAGUACGUUCGCAAGAAUGAAACUCAAAGAAUUGACGGGGGCCCGCACAAGCGGUGGAUUAUGUUGGUUUAUUCGAUGAUACGC
rnacentral:rRNA from 1 species